ACUCCUACGGGAGGCAGCAGUGGGGAAUAUUGCACAAUGGGCGCAAGCCUGAUGCAGCCAUGCCGCGUGUAUGAAGAAGGCCUUCGGGUUGUAAAGUAACUUUCAGCAGUGAGGAAGGCGGGUACGUUAAUAGCGUGCUUGUUUGACGUUAGCUGCAGAAGAAGCACCGGCUAACUCCGUGCCAGCAGCCGCGGUAAUACGGAGGGUGCGAGCGUUAAAUCGGAAUUACUGGGCGUAAAGCGCAUGCAGGUGGUUUGUUAAGUCAGAUAGUGAAAAGCCCGGGGCUCAACCUCGGAAUUGCAUUUGAAACUGGCAGACUAGAGUACUGUAGAGGGGGGUAGAAUUUCAGGUGUAGCGGUGAAAUGCGUAGAGAUCUGAAGGAAUACCGGUGGCGAAAGGCGGCCCCCUGGACAGAUACUGACACUCAGAUGCGAAAAGCGUGGGGAGCAAACAGGAUUAGAUACCCUGGUAGGAUAGCG
rnacentral:rRNA from 1 species